rnacentral:rRNA from 1 species
UACGGAGGGUGCGAACGUUAAUCGGAAUUACUGGGCGUAAAGCGCACGUAGGCGGCUCGUUAAGUGGGAUGUGAAAGCCCUGGGCUCAACCUGGGAACUGCAUUUCAGACUGGCGGGCUAGAGUACAGUAGAGGGGGGUGGAAUUCCCUGUGUAGCGGUGAAAUGCGUAGAUAUAGGGAGGAACAUCAGUGGCGAAGGCGGCCCCCUGGACUGAUACUGACGCUGAGGUGCGAAAGCGUGGGGAGCAAACAGG